GUUGGACUACUCCUCUUCGGUGGAAAAAGAGAAGCAGAGAAGCAAGGAAGUAGCUGAACAGCUUUUAGAAACAGUGGCCAAGAAAUGGGUUGUCCGCCUGCUAUGUGUAGUUCCAAGCCAAACAAAGACAAGUAUGAAUUCAACUCUUCCACCACUUGGUCAACAGUUUCUCCUUUCUCUAUCUUUCUCGUUAUUUUGUUUCUACUUCGUUUUGCUUUCUGCUUUCUAGACAAUGAAAACUGGGACUUGAAUGCAGUGAGUGAUGCAUAAUCUCUUCUAUGAAUACUAUUACACCAAAUUGAAGAUUACAGAAUCUGUGGUAGUUUCUCUAAAUCCAAGUAUCUAUAAAGCUGGAACAUUAAAAAAA
rnacentral:lncRNA from 1 species